rnacentral:rRNA from 1 species
GACGAACGCUGGCGGCGGGCUUAACACAUGCAAGUCGAACGGAAAGGCCCUGCUUGUGUGGGGUGCUCGAGUGGCGAACGGGUGAGUAACACGUGAGUAACCUGCCCUUGACUUUGGGAUAACUUCAGGAAACUGGGGCUAAUACCGGAUAGGAUCUCCUGCUGCGUGGUGGGGGUGGGAAAGUUUCGGCCGGUGGGGAUGGACGCGCGGCUGAUCAGCUUGUUGGUGGGGGAGGGGCUGACCAAGGCUUUGACGGGUAGCCCGCCGGGGAGGGGGACCGGCCACAAUGGGCCUGAGGGACGGCCCAGCGUCCUACAUGAGGCAGUAGUGGGGAACAUUGCCCAGUCGGCCGGAGCGUGAUGCGAAGACCUCGGGGUCGGGAAGCCCGUUUUUGGGUUGUAAAAAGCUUUAGGCUGUGACCCAGCGUUGGUGACGGUACUGGGAAAAGAAGCACCGGCUAACUUCGUG